rnacentral:ncRNA from 2 species
CUCACCACCAAGGGGAGCCCGGGCACGGGCUGAGAAAUCGUUGAUGCAGUGCGAUGACCCUUCGAACCUGAUCCGGAUCAUGCCGGCGAAGGGAUGGUCCGAUGCGCCGGA